rnacentral:rRNA from 1 species
AUUGAACGCUGGCGGCAGGCUUAACACAUGCAAGUCGAACGAGUGGCGGACGGGUGAAUAAUGCUUGGCAAUCUAGCUUAUGGAGGUGGCUAACUACGGGAAACUGUAGCUAAUACCGCGUAACAUAGGAUCAGCCCACGUGGGAUUAGGUAGUUGGUGAGGUAAAGGCUCACCAAGACUACGCUCUCUAGCUGGUCUGAGAGGAUGACCAGCCACACUGGGACUGAGACACGGCCCAGACUCCUACGGGAGGCAGCAGUGGGGAAUAUUGCGCAAUGGGGGCAACCUGACGCAGCAAUGCCGCGUGAAUGAAGAAGGCCUUCGGGUUGUAAAGUUCUUUCGGUAGCGAGGCGUUAACUACAGAAGAAGCACCGGCUAACUCCGUGCCAGCAGCCGCGGUAAUAC